UCCUCAUUUCAAGGGCUGCCGUAAGCACGUACCACCACAGAGGGCCAGACAAGCAGAGAUGUAACUCCUCCUGGUCCUGGAGGCUGGAAGUCCAGGAUCAUGGUGUCCUUGGCAGGGCUGGCUCCCUCUGAGGGCUGUGAGGAAGACUGGCUUCCAGACCUCUCUCCCCAGCUCCAGGGCAGUGGUCUCUCCCCGUGCCUCCACAUCAUCUUCACUCUUGUGUAUCUACAUCCAGAUUUCUACCACAGUUUAGCCAGUGGGCCACCUCUGCUGGAGUUUGCUGUGGAUCUGUGGACAUGCAAGGUUGGCCCGAUCUUUAUCCCCUUCCUUAUGACCUCCUUUCAUCAGGCUGCUCGCUUAACUAAUAUGCCUAGUGUCUGGUCACCGUCUUCACCUGCUCCAUGGCAACAUUUUUUCUGGUGGCUGUUUUUCAUCUAACUGGAUGCGCUGUGCUGAAGUCACUGGUUUCGUGGAAGGUCAUGAGGGAAAACCAAC